AACUUAAGCAUAUCAAUAAGCGGAGGAAAAGAAACCACCAGGGAUUGCCUCAGUAACGGCGAGUGAAGCGGCAACAGCUCAAAUUUGAAAGCUGGCCCUUUCAGGGUCCGCGUUGUAAUUUGUAGAGGAUGCUUCGGGCGCGGCGCUGGUCUAAGUUCUUUGGAACAAGACGUCAUAGAGGGUGAGAAUCCCGUAUGUGACUAGCUGCCUGUGCCUGUGUGAAGCUCCUUCGACGAGUCGAGUUGUUUGGGAAUGCAGCUCAAAAUGGGUGGUGUACUUCAUCUAAAGCUAAAUAUUGGCCAGAGACCGAUAGCGCACAAGUAGAGUGAUCGAAAGAUGAAAAGCACUUUGGAAAGAGAGUUAAACAGUACGUGAAAUUGUUGAAAGGGAAGCGCUUGCAAUCAGACUUGCGCGGCGUCGAUCAGCCUGGGUUCUCCCUGGUGCACUCGGCGCUGCUCAGGCCAGCAUCAGUUUCAGCGGUUGGAUAAAGGCCUAGGGAACGUGGGUUACUUCGGUGACUGUUAUAGCCCUAGGUGCAAUGCAGCCUGUUGGGACUGAGGACCGCGCUUCGGCUAGGAUGCUGGCGUAAUGGUUGUAAGCGACCCGUCUUGAAACACGGACCAAGGAGUCUAACAUCUAUGCGAGUUUUUGGGUGUCAAACCCAUAAGCGUAAUGAAAGUGAACGGAGGUGAGAACCCUUAAGGGUGCAUCAUCGACCGAUCCUGAUGUCUUCGGAUGGAUUUGAGUAAGAGCAUAGCUGUUGGGACCCGAAAGAUGGUGAUCUAUACUUGAAUAGGGUGAAGCCAGAGGAAACUCUGGUGGAGGCUCGCAGCGGUUCUGACGUGCAAAUCGAUCGUCAAAUUUGGGUAUAGGGGCGAAAGACUAAUCGAACCAUCUAGUAGCUGGUUCACGCCGAAGUUUCCCUAGGAAAUUAAGCUUUUUUUUGAAG
rnacentral:rRNA from 1 species